rfam:Rattus norvegicus chromosome 13, whole genome shotgun sequence.
GGAGAUUUAGCUCAGUGGUAGAGCGCUUGCCUAGCAAGCUCAAGGCUCUGGGUUCGAUCCCCUGCUCCA